GAUGAACGCUGGCGGCGUGCUUAACACAUGCAAGUCGAGCGAAGCAGUUAAGUUGAUUUCUUCGGAUUGAUUCUUAAUUGGCUGAGCGGCGGACGGGUGAGUAACGCGUGGGUGACCUGCCCCAUACCGGGGGAUAACAGCUGGAAACGGCUGCUAAUACCGCAUAAGCGCACAGAGCUGCAUGGCUCAGUGUGAAAAACUCCGGUGGUAUGGGAUGGGCCCGCGUCUGAUUAGGCAGUUGGCGGGGUAACGGCCCACCAAACCGACGAUCAGUAGCCGGCCUGAGAGGGCGACCGGCCACAUUGGGACUGAGACACGGCCCAAACUCCUACGGGAGGCAGCAGUGGGGAAUAUUGCACAAUGGGGGAAACCCUGAUGCAGCGACGCCGCGUGAGCGAAGAAGUAUUUCGGUAUGUAAAGCUCUAUCAGCAGGGAAGAUAAUGACGGUACUUGAGGAGGAAGCCCCGGCUAACUACGUGCCAGCAGCCGCGGUAAUACGUAGGGGGCUAGCGUUAUCCGGAUUUACUGGGCGUAAAGGGUGCGUAGGCGGUCUUUUAAGUCAGGAGUGAAAGGCUACGGCUCAACCGUAGUAAGCUCUUGAAACUGGAGGACUUGAGUGCAGGAGAGGAGAGCGGAAUUCCUAGUGCAGCGGUGAAAUGCGUAGAUAUUAGGAAGAACACCAGUGGCGAAGGCGGCUUACUGGACGGUAACUGACGUUGAGGCUCGAAAGCGUGGGGAGCAAACAGGAUUAGAUACCCUGGUAGUCCACGCCGUAAAC
rnacentral:rRNA from 1 species